rnacentral:rRNA from 1 species
GAUGAACGCUGGCGGCGUGCCUAAUACAUGCAAGUCGAGCGAACAGACGAGGAGCUUGCUCCUCUGACGUUAGCGGCGGACGGGUGAGUAACACGUGGAUAACCUACCUAUAAGACUGGGAUAACUUCGGGAAACCGGAGCUAAUACCGGAUAAUAUAUUGAACCGCAUGGUUCAAUAGUGAAAGACGGUUUUGCUGUCACUUAUAGAUGGAUCCGCGCCGCAUUAGCUAGUUGGUAAGGUAACGGCUUACCAAGGCAACGAUGCGUAGCCGACCUGAGAGGGUGAUCGGCCACACUGGAACUGAGACACGGUCCAGACUCCUACGGGAGGCAGCAGUAGGGAAUCUUCCGCAAUGGGCGAAAGCUUGACGGGGCAACGCCGCGUGAGUGAUGAAGGUCUUCGGAUCGUAAAACUCUGUUAUUAGGGAAGAACAAAUGUGUAAGUAACUAUGCACGUCUUGACGGUACCUAAUCAGAAAGCCACGGCUAACUACGUG